CAGAAAGAAGUGAUGCCGACGACUGGCAGCCUGAAUCUGAAGGCAGAGCCCAGUCACCUGACGACACGACCCUGUCGACUGAACGCAGCAGCGGCCACUCACCUCAAUGCAGUUCAGCAUCAAGCAAUGAUUGGACUGGUUCCGCGCCACCAGAAAAAUGUCCCAGAUUGGGAAAGUUAACGGAGCUUGCUGAGCUCAUGCAAGAACAGCACAGCAGAAAUUCCAACAUGCCUAUGGAGCAUGCUCAACUUGUGUUCGAGCAGCAAAAGCAGUUGAUGAAAGAAAGCAAUAAUUCUUUCAAAGAAACGAUAACAGGAAUAACUGCUUCGUUCUUGCAAGGAACACAAAGUAUGCUAGCACAGCUGAUUAGUCAGCCUCCACAGGCUUUUGUGCAGCCAUCGCCAGCGUUUACAAUUCCGCCGGUGUUUCAGAAUUACACAUGGGCUUUUAGACAAGUACCAAACCAAUAUAAUCAGCCAGCGUAGCGAAGCAAAGCCACAGCAAGUCAUCGUGCAUCAGUGUUCGGACAGUCUGAAGAAGCUGUAAACCCGUUGAGUGUGCAAGGUUAUCCCGGAGUGGCUACAAACGUGGAAGUUUCCAGCGACAACCACACAGGAAAGGACCAGCCAGAGGACAUUUUCGUAUGAUAACAUAAUUUUUAUUUUAGAGCACGAACAAUGAGUUCAGGCUUGUGAACCCACUACCAAAGAAGGUGCUGUUUGUACGUAACCGCCAAAUAAACUUGUUCUUCCGUGUA